rnacentral:rRNA from 1 species
CGUGGGUGAUCUGCCCUGCACUUUGGGAUAAGCCUGGGAAAACUGGGUCUAAUACCGAAUAGGACUCCGGACUGCAUGGUCUGGGGUGGAAAGCUUUUGCGGUGUGGGAUGGGCCCGCGGCCUAUCAGCUUGUUGGUGGGGUGAUGGCCUACCAAGGCGACGACGGGUAGCCGGCCUGAGAGGGUGUCCGGCCACACUGGGACUGAGAUACGGCCCAGACUCCUACGGGAGGCAGCAGUGGGGAAUAUUGCACAAUGGGCGCAAGCCUGAUGCAGCGACGCCGCGUGAGGGAUGACGGCCUUCGGGUUGUAAACCUCUUUCGCCAGGGACGAAGCGCAAGUGACGGUACCUGGAGAAGAAGCACCGGCCAACUACGUGCCAGCAGCCGCGGUAAUACGUAGGGUGCGAGCGUUGUCCGGAAUUACUGGGCGUAAAGAGCUCGUAGGUGGUUUGUCGCGUUGUUCGUGAAAACUCACAGCUUAACUGUGGGCGUGCGGGCGAUACGGGCAGACUGGAGUACUGCAGGGGAGACUGGAAUUCCUGGUGUAGCGGUGGAAUGCGCAGAUAUCAGGAGGAACACCGGUGGCGAAGGCGGGUCUCUGGGCAGUAACUGACGCUGAGGAGCGAAAGCGUGGGGAGCGAACAGGAUUAGAUACCCUGGUAGUCCACGCCGUAAACGGUGGGUACUAGGUGUGGGUUUCCUUCCUUGGGAUCCGUGCCGUAGCUAACGCAUUAAGUACCCCGCCUGGGGAGUACGGCCGCAAGGCUAAAACUCAAAGGAAUUGACGGGGGCCC